CGGGUACCAUAACUGACACUCAGGGACGAAAGCUAGGGGAGCGAAUGGGAUUAGAUACCCAGUAGUCCUAGCCGUAAACGAUGGAUACUAGGUGUUGUCUGUAUCGACCCGGACAGUGCCGUAGCUAACGCGUUAAGCAUCCACCUGGGGAGUACGCCGGCAACGGUGAAACUCAAAGGAAUUGACGGGGCCCGCACAAGCGGAGGAACAUGUGGUUUAAUUCGAUGAUACGCGAGGAACCUUACCCGGGCUUGAAUUGCAGAGGAAGGAUUUGGAGACAAUGACGCCCUUCGGGGCCUCUGUGAAGGUGCUGCAUGGUUGUCGUCAGCUCGUGCCGUGAGGUGUCGGCUUAAGUGCCAUAACGAGCGCAACCCCUCUCCUUAGUUGCCAUCAGGUCAUGCUGGGCACUCUGGGGACACUGCCACCGUAAGGUGUGAGGAAGGUGGGGAUGACGUCAAAUCAGCACGGCCCUUACGUCCGGGGCUACACACGUGUUACAAUGGCAGGUACAGAGAGACGGUCCCUUGCAAAACGGGUCGACGCGGCC
rnacentral:rRNA from 1 species